ACCCUUCCGUAGGGUGAACCUGCGGAGGGAUCAUUA
rnacentral:rRNA from 1 species